CUCUCCCCGACUGGGUCCCUGAGAAGCUGGGAGGGGACCCCAGAGGAGAUCUUCAGAGGGGCUGGGCGGAGGCACACAAAGCCUUUCUCUCCUCCCUCCGGCCACGCCCCUUCUCUUCUCGUCCUCUUCUUCUUCCUCCUCCUGGGCGGAGAAUUCUAGUCCUACUCGGUCACUGACCUGCCGGUCGCCCCCGCCUCCCAGAUCUGCACCAAGGGAGCAAGAUGGAGACCUGAGACAGAAACUUCUGAACUUCCAUCGGGAAAGAUCAAAUGCGUGAGCCUUCAGAGCUCCGCAGCAGACAGGCCCGAGCUGAAGAGAGGAGAGAGAGAUGCUGGCCUGACAGGUAGGUAAAACUGAGAUGCUGAAACCCAGGAUUCAUCAACCCAGGGAGGAAGUUCAUUUCCAGCCCUGUCAUUGAGGUUGGGAUUUUAUUCUGUGUCAGCUUUGGAAGGUUGCCAUGGAAACUGAUGCCAUUCAUGAUGUAGCAGGAUCAGAGCCACCCAAGAAUCAGGACAUUUUAGGAACCCCAAGAACAUAAAGUAGAACCAGAAACUGCAGGGAGCAUUGACCUCACGUCAGUCAGGCACAGCCUUAGUAGGUUAACUGGUUUAAUCUUCACAAGAGCCGAAUGGGGCAGGCAUUGCUAUUGGCAGCAGAAUAUAAAGAGCACAGAGUCAGUCCAGUGCCUUCACCAACAGAAACCAUGUCACUUUUCAGGUUCCCUGCUCCCAUUUUUUUCUUUCCAUCUGGUUUUGGGGUUUUUUUGUUUUGUUUGUUGUUGUUAUUUUGCUUUUUUUUUUAAAAGCGGUACAUAUAUACAUUUCUAUCUUUCAGGAAGUAAGCCUAAAAGAAUAUCAGUUCAGAUCACUGUGACAGAACAACAAAUGGUCAAAAUGGAAUUAUUGCUUUUCCAAAAUCUUGCUACUCCUCCAUCAACUACAGGGUCUACUACUUUCCUUCGGCUUGAAUCUGGGCAGGACUUAGUAACUGAACUGACACACAUCGCAAGCAACUUUAAAGCAAAGGGGACCUGGCUUUUGCCUGGCUUACUAAUUAUCUUGGGACUUGGUUCUUAGGAUAUGUGAUCUUCUGGCCACCAUGUUGUAGGGGAAACUAUGUGGUCCUGGUUCUAAGUGACAGCCCACCGGUUUGUGAAUGAGGCUCUGUGAGGUUGGCCCACCUGUUUGCCUCGCUACCAUGAGGCCUUCAGCAGAAGCCCAGGCUAUAUUCUGCUCCAUCAUAGGUAUUCUGUUAGCAUCAGAAGGGGGCUGGCAAUGAUGCAAAUGAUAAAUUCGUCGUUUCAGUUGGCUUUGCUCAUCGGAAUUGCGGUACUGUGUUUUUUUACCUCUUAUGUGAAUGUGUGUGCAUAAGUGUCACUUGCAGCUAUCCGCAAACUAAGAAUAAACCUUGCCUUUACGUCCUUCAGAAUAGGCAAUGCUUAUCUCUAUACUUAGAAUCUAUAGGAACCCAGAAGUAAUGGAGGAGACUGAAAAAUCAGAAUGUGGGAGUUAUUUACAUUACAAAACAUGGAAAACUUGGUCUAAAAUGUUAGUUAACUUUAAUUAUUUAAUUGUAUUUUGCAUUAGCUAGAUUAUUAAUUAAUUUAUCUUGCUGCUUAACAAUCUACCCCAAAUUCUGGAGAGAUGGCUCACCAAUUAAGAUCACUGUCUGACUACUCUUCCAGAAGACUGAAGUUCAAUUUCCAAUACCCACAUUGCAGCUAACAACCAUCUUUAACUCCACUCCUGGGCAUCUGGUGCUCCCUUCUGGGCACUGUACACACAUGGUACAUGGUCAUACAUGCAGGCAAAAUACAAAUAAAAAUCCCCUACUCCUACACUUAGGAAAGAUUGAAAUCUCUUCUAGAAGUGCUUAGAAUCUGCAGUUUAGAAUCAUUAAUGUUUCAGACUUUAGAGUUCUGUUUUGGUUUUGGUUUUGGUUUUGGUUUUGAUUUUGGUUUUGGUUUUGGUUUUGGGUUUUUUCUUCAAAUUUUCAAAUACUUGUAUUGGUUUUACUGGUUGAGGAUCCCUAACAUGAAAGUUGAAGCACUCCAAAAAUGCUUUGAAUUUUCACAGUAGGGAUGUUGAGUUUGUAGCUUAGUCAUCUUAGCACAUAAUUCUGUAGGCUGACCGUUUGAGCUGGGACCAGCUGGUGGACUUCGUCUGGUCCUGCUGCAUUUUUGCAUUGUUAUCCUCUGACAGGCGUCUGGGGGAAAAUGGCAUCGACGGGGUGGCUGCCCUUGGUUCUGCGUGUCUCCAUUCUCCAGUCUGAGCUUAUGGACAUGGAAGCACGGCUUGACAGAGUGGAGAGAGUAGGGCUUGAAAAUAAGAGUACGGCUUUCCCACAUCCUGCUGGGCAAAGCAAAUAGAAAGGUUCAGCCCUUGACGGGUGGGGGAGCUCCUACGCAACCUAGCAAAGGGAGUCUGCAAGGACACAAGGUUGUAAAUCAGAGCACAUCCUCGAAAUCUGCAGUACCACAGAAAAUGUCAAUAAUCUACUGAGGGAACUAGCAAUGUUACAAAGAGAGAUGCUGGAGAGGAUGCUGUUUGUGUGGUUUAUAACACAUGACAAAAAUCUAAUGGGAUGCUGAAAUGGUCCUAGAGUAGAAAAGCCACACACAGUCCCUCUUAUCCAUCGCACUGUCUUAAAAAGCAGAAUUAAGAUGCUUAGCAGAGCACAGUUGGGCGACAGGUUACCCCCUGUGUUCUUUUACCUUCUUAUUGAUGGGGAUGGGAAUACUGACAUCAAUGAGGGUUUGGCAGGCAGAAGGGAAAUU
ensembl:processed_transcript BC039771 cDNA sequence BC039771